AAAUUCAACAAUCGCAACAACAUUCACAGAAAGAAACCGAAAAAUAUAUUUCGAAUUAGAGAGAUAAAGAGAAUGAUGAUUCAGAGAAGAAUCAUGUUCGUUGAACAUAACAAGGCAUAGUCUGAAGAAACGUGAACCAAAUUAGGAAGCAAGGAUGCGGAACUGAUGCUAUUUGAAGAAAAACACUAAAUAUAGGUUAAAUCGAAGAUAAGCAAGGAAGUUUGCAAAUGAAUAGUACAUGUUAUAUGUUCAUUUAUGAAAGUGUAUAUGUUCAUUAAUGAAUGUGUAUAUGAUCAUAUCUUAAACUUCCUCCAUUUCUUUUUACUUGCAACACAGCCUUGUGGCACGUGUUUUGAGGUCGGGUUUAUAUAAUGUAAACGGAUAAAUUAUUCAUUAUAAUUUUUACAAAUGAUACUUAACCCUAUUCUAA